rnacentral:rRNA from 1 species
AUUGAACGCUGGCGGCAGGCCUAACACAUGCAAGUCGAGCGAGCGGCGGACGGGUGAGUAAUGUCUGGGACAAAGCCUGAUGGAGGGGGAUAACUACUGGAAACGGGAGCUAAUACCGCAUACCCUCAGCGGUGCCCAGAUGGGAGUGGCUAGUAGGUGGGGUAACGGUUCACCUCGGCGACGAUCCCUAGCUGGGCUGAGAGGAUGACCAGCCACACUGGAACUGAGACACGGUCCAGACUCCUACGGGAGGCAGCAGUUGGGAAGAUUGCACAAUGGGCGCAAGCCGGAUGCAGCCAUGCCGCGUGUGUGAAGAAGGCCUUCGGGUUGUAAAGCACUUUCAGCGGGGAGGCGUUACCCGCAGAAGAAGCACCGGCGAACUCCGUGCCAGCAGCCGCGGUAAUAC